GUGAUCUUGGAUUAGGCAAAGAUUUCUUAGAUAAGACAUCAAAAGGACAAUCCACAAAGAACAAAUUGAUAAAUUUGACUACAUCAACAUUGAACAUUUCUGCUUUUCAAAAGCCAAUGCUAACUUUCUGCCUCACCAGCCAUUGCAGAGCGGUGGCUGUGGCUCUGCUCUUCCCCAUGGCCAUGGGCCUUAACAAGGGCCACAAGAUGACCAAGAACAUGAGCAAACUGAGGCACAGCCACCUCCUCGGGUGCCUCACUAAGCACACCAAGUUCAUGCGGGACAUGAUCCAGGAGGUGUGCAGCUUCACCCCUUAUGAGCGGCAGGCCAUGGAGCUGCUCAAGGUCUUCAAGGACAAGCGGGCCCGCAAGUUCAUCAAGAAAAGGGUGAGGACAUACAUCCGUGCCAAGAGGAAGAGAGAGGAGCUGAGCAAUGUCCUGGCCACCAUGAGGAAAGUGGCAGCCAAGAACAACUGAGCCCUUCCCCUCUGUCCACAAUAAACCUUUUCAGAAAAAAAAAAAAAAGACAUUGUUAAGAGAACAAACAGACAAGCCACAGACUGCCAAGAAAAAUACUUGCAAAGCAUAUAUCUGAUGAAAUGUCUGUAUCCAGAAGAUAUAAGAACUACUUUUUGAAAGGUCUAUUAAUAGGAUAUGGCAAAAGGGGUGGUGUAUCUCUAAUCUUUAUAAAGAUUCUUAAAGCUAGAAAAAAUGGAAUAGAUGAAUAAUUUGCAAAGAAGAAAUAGAGACACAGAUGUAGAGAACAAAUGAUGUUUGGAUAACGAGGGGGAAAGAGGGUGGGACGA